UAACACAUAAUAUACAACGUUCAAGUUGCAUAAGCGAUCUCUAGAAUUAUACAGAUCGCCUAUGUAAGAUAGGCGUUUUGUAUGUUAAAAGCUAUAGAGCGCCUAUCUAUGUUAAUAGCUCUAUAUGAUAAAUUCAAAUUUACCCUAUACAAUAUAGAGCGCCUCUUUCAGUUCACCGUUCUAUAAAUAUUUAAAAAAAAAAAAAUUAAAAUAAGUAUCUAAUACGACACCCACGACUAACCCUAAAUACUUGUAUCAAAAUGAGCCGCCCCCUUCUGUCUUCUUCUCUUUUUCACUCCUUCAUAUCCCCUUUCUCUCUCCUCUCCCCCUUCCUCUCUUUCUCUCUCCUCUUCCACCAUCACCGACGACACUGUAGUCUAGCUUCUCACGCCCACCGAUGACACCGUAGUCUAGCCACCACCGAGCAAUGAGCGUCGAUCGUCCACCACUGUGGCAUGAGAAGUCGAUUCGAAUUUAAUUGGUCAAGGUUGGAAGCGUUGUUGUAACUACAAUGGUGGCAAGCUAUUUCAAUUUCUUCAUUUUUUAUGUUUAGUUUGUUUAAUUGGAUCUAUAGUAAUUUUUAAAUUUUUUAUGUUUAGUUUGUAACUGUAAUUCUGGUUUUAUGAGUGUUAUAUGAACUGGGUUUAUUUUAAUAUCUUAUGGGAUGAAAUUUUAUUGUUACAUAAAUUGUAUUAAGAUCUAUUUUUGUUGGGGUGGAUUGAUUGAAGUUGUAAAAAAUUUAGUUUAAAUUACAUUGCAACUAUAGUCUUAUCAUUUGUUGUUACAUGUUUUUAAAGAUUUAUGAGUGCAAAUUUGCUUGACAGCGGCAGGAUUGACACCAUCGGCUUAAUUAUUUUGUACGAAGCAUUGUAGAACUUGUAAUGUAAAUUUCUUGUAAGGAACUUUGAUGUAAUUGAAAUAUUUGUAAUUUUUAAAUUAA